CUGACAUCAUAUGCAUCAUCACAAAGGCACAGAUUAUGAAACGGCUCAUACCUAGACUGGUUUUAAAUUUGAAGGCCUCUCUAAGGAGACAUAGCAUUUCAGUGGAGGGUCUUUAUAAAAAGUAGAUCUCUCAGAUACCUAAUUGCCUCAAUUUUGUACUGGAUAACCAUGUCCUCAUUUGAUAUGUCACACUGAAGUUUUAAAAUGCCUUCUUUUAGUUGUAUGAAACCUUUGCUUUGAACUAGGGAAUGAGGACCCAUUCCAGGGCCUGAAACUGGACUCUUGUCUAACACUCAGAAAUAAAUUGUCCGAGGAGACACAUGUGCUGACAAAGCAAGAGAUUUUUUUGGGGAAGGACACCCAGGUGAACAUAGGUCUGAACACUCCAGGCAAAAAUUCACUUGGCUUCAACCAAUUUGCAAAUACCAUCAUUCACUGCUGUUUUGCUACCCAUUUCUCAAAUCUCAAUUAAAUGUGAUGACAGUUUACUUGCUAGAAACACAGAAAGGUUCUUUCCCAACCAGAGGUCUUCACUCAUUUCCUGUUAGUGGACUUGGCAAGCAGAGUCAAAACAUCCAUUACUGAGGGUGAGUUUUAAUUUGGAAGGUUAUUGCCAAAGUCAGCUAAAUAAUUAUAAAAUCCUUUAAAAAUGCAAACGGCAACAGAACAGCUGAGAACAAUCUAUAUAUCAUGAAACCUGUUUACAAUGGAUUUUUGAAAGAGUGAAUUUUAGAUUGCUACUUUCCCUAACAUUCUGAGUCACCCUUAGGAUGAACUAAAAAGAAUCUUCUCUCUGUAACUAUGUUUUGUGUUAAAACCAAAAACAUUAAAAAAUUACUCUGCAAGUCUUGAUGCUCUGGCUCUGACACCACAUUCCUUGUAAAACUAAAAGUAAGGAGUGAGAUGAGACACAGUUUUGGCCUAAAAAAUUACCAAUUGAGUUCUGUUCACUGGGGCGUGUCCUUCCCUGAAUGGAAUUCGUCAAAUAGCUGUGGUGAGGGCUGGUUCUGAUUCACUCCUCAAAGCUCACUGUGCAUGCUGGGACCCUUUACUCUGGCAUAUGCAAUAAACACCUCUGACUUUAGUAAAGGUAACAACAUGGGGGUGUAAACACCUGCUCUGUGGGAACAGAGAAGGGCGGCCUCUACCUGGUUAUGGAGUGCCAUGAUGGAGACAACUUUUCUUUUGUCGGAAACUAGGAGUGCUCUGCUUGACCCUGCUGUGAACUCCCACUGAAAUAUUUAGAAGGCAAGUCUUCUCUGCCAAUCUACCUGCUCGGACAACUUUCAUUUCACCUGCUUUUCUUUCUAAGACAGAAAAAUCAGUUGUAAAGUAUUUCCCCUGCGUGGCGUCUUCCAGUCCUGGAGCGAGAACUAGGGGCAGACUGGCUGGCCUCUAUUGCCUGCCUGGCUCCUUUCCUGGCCGAUGUGUGUUGUCUGGGAGGGCUGGCUUAUAUAGGAACAUACAGGAGAUG
rnacentral:lncRNA from 1 species